rnacentral:rRNA from 1 species
UGCCUGCCCAGUGACAAUUGUUUAACGGCCGCGGUAUCCUGACCGUGCAAAGGUAGCAUAAUCAUUUGUUCCUUAAAUAGGGACUUGUAUGAAUGGCCACACGAGGGUUUAACUGUCUCUUACUUCCUAUCAGUGAAAUUGACCUUUCCGUGAAGAGGCGGAAAUAAACAAAUUAGACGAGAAGACCCUAUGGAGCUUCAAUUUAUCUAUACCAACAGAAUAACUUUAUACCCAUCAAGGACUAACACUUAUUCUAACUGGUUAGAAAAUUUCGGUUGGGGUGACCUCGGAGUAUAAAUUAACCCCCGAGAAGAAUUACUAAGACUGACAAGUCAAAGUUUCAAAUAUUAAUUGAUCCAGUCUAACUGAUCAACGAAACAAGUUACCCUAGGGAUAACAGCGCAAUCCUAUUCUAGAGUCCUUAUCGACAAUAGGGUUUACGACCUCGAUGUUGGAUCAGGACAUCCUAAUGGUGC